UGAAGAAACCUCCAAAAUCUUCAUGCAAAACCAUUCCUCGGGGGUCACAAGAAGAAGAAAACACAAAAAGCUCCAUGAAGAAUUACUCUUCAAGGGCCAUGGUAAAGAAAACACCGAAAGCUAGACCAUGAAGCUCUCCUCAGGGGCAACGUGCUGAGGAGAACCCCAAAAGCUGGACAAUGCAGAACUCCUCACGGGCCGCAGUGAAGAGAAACCCAAAACCUGAACGAUGAAGAACUUCUCAGGGCCUGGAACGAGAAAAGAAACACCAAAGGUUGGAUGAUGAAGCACUUCUCAGGGGCAACAAGAUGAAAACAAUACCAACAGAUGCACGAUGAAGUUCUCCUCAGGGAAAACACGGUGAGGAGAACCCCAAAGGUUGGACAAUGCAGAAUUCCUCGGGGCCGCAGUGAAGAAAACACCAGAAGCUGCACGAUGAAGAACUCCUCAGGGGCCACAAGGUGAAGAAAACACAAAAGAUAGACGAUAUUGCUCUCCUCACGGGAAACGUGGUGAAGAGAACCCCAAACGCUGGACGAUGAAGAACUCCUCAGGGCCGUAGAGAAGUAAACACCAAAGACUGCAAGAGGGAGAACUCCUCAGGGGAAAUGUGGUGAAGAAAACACAAAAGAUAGACGAUAUUGCUCUCCUCACGGGAAACGUGGUGAAGAGAACCCCAGACGCUGGACGAUGAAGAACUCCUCAGGGCCGUAGAGAAGUAAACACCAAAGAUUGCAAGAGGAAGAACUCCUCAGGGGAAACGUGGUAUGGGGAACGCCAAAAGCUGGACGAUGCAGAUCUCCUCAAGUAUCGCAACGUGAAGGAGACACUACGAGCUGCUCAAUAAACCGCUCCUCAGGAACUGCAGUGAAGAAACACCAAAAGCUGGAUGCAGAAACACUCCUCAAGGCGCAGUGAAGAAAAUAACCAUAGCUGCUCAACAAAUCACUCCUCCGAGGCUGCAGUGCAGAAACACCAAAAGCUGAACGAAGAAGCUCUCCUCAUGGGAAUCGUGGUGAAGAGAACCCCAAAAGCAGAACGAUGCAGAACUCCUCAGGGGCCGCACUGAAGAAAACACCAGAAGCUGCACGAUGAAGCAAUCCUCAGGGCCUGGAACGAGAAAAAAAAACACCAAAGGUUGGAAGAUGAAGCGCUUCUCAGGGGCAACAAGAUGAAAACAGUACCAAAAGUUGCACGAUGAAGUUCUUCUCCAGGAAAACAUGGUGACGAGAACCCCGAAACCUGCACUUUGACGAACUCCUCAGGGCCGCAGUGAAGAAAACACCAAAGCCUGCAUGAUGAUGCACUCAUUCGUGGUCGCAUACUGAAGAAAACACCGAACGCUGCACAGAGAAGCACUCCUCAGAGGCCACAACGUGAAGGAAAUACGAAAAGCUCCACCAAGAAUUACUCCUCAAGGGCCACAGCGAAGAAAACUCCAAAAGCUGGACGGUGAAGCUCUCCUCAGGGGAAACGUGGUGUGGAGAACCUCAAAAGGUGGACGUAGAAGCACUCCUCGAGUCGCAGGGAAGAACACACCAAAUGCUGCUCAAGAAAGCACUCCUCAGAGGCUGCACUGAAGAAACCCCAAAAGCUGCGCGAUGAAGAACUCCUCAGGGGCCACAAGGUGAAGAAAACACAAAAAGAUAGACGAUAUCGCUCUCCUCAGGGGAAACGUGGUGAAGAGAACCCCAAACGCUGGACGACAAAGAACUCCUCAGGGCCGUAGAGAAGAAAACACCAAAGACUGCAAGAGGGAGAACUCCUCAGGGGAAACGUGGUAUGGGGAACGCCAAAAGCUGGACGAUGCAGAUCUCCUCAAGUAUCGCAACGUGAAGGACACACUACGAGCUGCUCAAUAAACCCCUCCUCAGGAACUGCAGUGAAGAAACACCAAAAGCUGCGCCAUGAAGAACUCCUCAGGGGCCGCAGUGAAGAAAACAACAGAAGCUGCACGAUGAAGCAAUCCUCAGGGCCUGGAACAAGAAAAAAACACCCAAAGUUGGAAGAUGAAGCACUUCUCAGGGGCAGCAAGGUUAAAACAACACCAAAAGCUGGACGAUGAAGCUCUCCUCAGGGGAAAAGUGCUGAAGAGAACCGCGAAAGAUGCACGAUGAAGAACUCCUCAGGGCCACGCUGAAAACAACACCAAAAGCUGCACGAUGACGUACUCCUCCAGGGUCGCAGACUGAAGAAAACACCGAAAGCUGCACCAUGAAGCUCUCCUCAGGGGCAACGUGCUCUGGAGAACCGCAAAACCUGCACGAUGCAAAACUCCUCAUGGGCCGCAGUGAGGAGAACCCCAAAACCUGAACGAUGAAGAACUCCUCGGGGCCUGGAACGAGAAAAGAAACACCAAAGGUUGGAUGAUGAAGCACUUCUCAGGGGCAACAAGAUGAAAACAGUACCAACAGAUGCACGAUGAAGUUCUCCUCAGGGAAAACACGGUGAGGAGAACCCCAAAGGUUGGACAAUGCAGAAUUCCUCGGGGCCGCAGUGAAGAAAACACCAGAAGCUGCACGAUGAAGAACUCCUCAGGGGCCACAAGGUGAAGAAAACACAAAAGAUAGACGAUAUUGCUCUCCUCACGGGAAACGUGGUGAAGAGAACCCCAGACGCUGGACGAUGAAGAACUCCUCAGGGCCGUAGAGAAGUAAACACCAAAGAUUGCAAGAGGAAGAACUCCUCAGGGGAAACGUGGUAUGGGGAACGCCAAAAGCUGGACGAUGCAGAUCUCCUCAAGUAUCGCAACGUGAAGGACACACUACGAGCUGCUCAAUAAACCGCUCCUCAGGAACUGCAGUGAAGAAACACCAAAAGCUGGAUGCAGAAACACUCCUCAAGGCGCAGUGAAGAAAAUAACCAUAGCUGCUCAACAAAUCACUCCUCCGAGGCUGCAGUGCAGAAACACCAAAAGCUGAACGAAGAAGCUCUCCUCAUGGGAAUCGUGGUGAAGAGAACCCCAAAAGCAGAACGAUGCAGAACUCCUCAGGGGCCGCACUGAAGAAAACACCAGAAGCUGCACGAUGAAGCAAUCCUCAGGGCCUGGAACGAGAAAAAAAAACACCAAAGGUUGGAAGAUGAAGCGCUUCUCAGGGGCAACAAGAUGAAAACAGUACCAAAAGUUGCACGAUGAAGUUCUUCUCCAGGAAAACAUGGUGACGAGAACCCCGAAACCUGCACUUUGACGAACUCCUCAGGGCCGCAGUGAAGAAAACACCAAAGCCUGCAUGAUGAUGCACUCAUUCGUGGUCGCAUACUGAAGAAAACACCGAACGC